CGAAUGCUGACAUAAGUAACGAUAAAGCGGGUGAAAAGCCCGCUCGCCGGAAGACCAAGGGUUCCUGUCCAACGUUAAUCGGGGCAGGGUGAGUCGACCCCUAAGGCGAGGCCGAAAGGCGUAGUCGAUGGGAAACAGGUUAAUAUUCCUGUACUUGGUGUUACUGCGAAGGGGGGACGGAGAAGGCUAUGUUGGCCGGGCGACGGUUGUCCCGGUUUAAGCGUGUAGGCUGAUUUUCCAGGCAAAUCCGGAAAAUCAAGGCUGAGGCGUGAUGACGAGGCACUACGGUGCUGAAGCAACAAAUGCCCUGCUUCCAGGAAAAGCCUCUAAGCAUCAGGUAACAUCAAAUCGUACCCCAAACCGACACAGGUGGUCAGGUAGAGAAUACCAAGGCGCUUGAGAGAACUCGGGUGAAGGAACUAGGCAAAAUGGUGCCGUAACUUCGGGAGAAGGCACGCUGAUAUGUAGGUGAAGCGACUUGCUCGUGGAGCUGAAAUCAGUCGAAGAUACCAGCUGGCUGCAACUGUUUAUUAAAAACACAGCACUGUGCAAACACGAAAGUGGACGUAUACGGUGUGACGCCUGCCCGGUGCCGGAAGGUUAAUUGAUGGGGUUAGCGGUAACGCGAAGCUCUUGAUCGAAGCCCCGGUAAACGGCGGCCGUAACUAUAACGGUCCUAAGGUAGCGAAAUUCCUUGUCGGGUAAGUUCCGACCUGCACGAAUGGCGUAAUGAUGGCCAGGCUGUCUCCACCCGAGACUCAGUGAAAUUGAACUCGCUGUGAAGAUGCAGUGUACCCGCGGCAAGACGGAAAGACCCCGUGAACCUUUACUAUAGCUUGACACUGAACAUUGAGCCUUGAUGUGUAGGAUAGGUGGGAGGCUUUGAAGUGUGGACGCCAGUCUGCAUGGAGCCGACCUUGAAAUACCACCCUUUAAUGUUUGAUGUUCUAACGUUGACCCGUAAUCCGGGUUGCGGACAGUGUCUGGUGGGUAGUUUGACUGGGGCGGUCUCCUCCUAAAGAGUAACGGAGGAGCACGAAGGUUGGCUAAUCCUGGUCGGACAUCAGGAGGUUAGUGCAAUGGCAUAAGCCAGCUUGACUGCGAGCGUGACGGCGCGAGCAGGUGCGAAAGCAGGUCAUAGUGAUCCGGUGGUUCUGAAUGGAAGGGCCAUCGCUCAACGGAUAAAAGGUACUCCGGGGAUAACAGGCUGAUACCGCCCAAGAGUUCAUAUCGACGGCGGUGUUUGGCACCUCGAUGUCGGCUCAUCACAUCCUGGGGCUGAAGUAGGUCCCAAGGGUAUGGCUGUUCGCCAUUUAAAGUGGUACGCGAGCUGGGUUUAGAACGUCGUGAGACAGUUCGGUCCCUAUCUGCCGUGGGCGCUGGAGAACUGAGGGGGGCUGCUCCUAGUACGAGAGGACCGGAGUGGACGCAUCACUGGUGUUCGGGUUGUCAUGCCAAUGGCACUGCCCGGUAGCUAAAUGCGGAAGAGAUAAGUGCUGAAAGCA
rnacentral:rRNA from 1 species